ensembl:lncRNA
UCCUCUGUCCAGGAAGGAGUGCAGCUGCCUGACCCCCUCGUGGGUACCUGGGAGGGUCGGAAGGUCAUGAACUCUCCAGGCAAGGCCAGAGCCCAUGGAAGCCCCUUCCAGCCAGAGAAGACCAGCAAAUGGAGGUGAGCCCCUGGCCACAUGUAGGGGAUAGGACUGGGCCCAGGGGUGUCAGGCCCUAACUCCUCAACCUGAGGGUGCCACCCUUCAAGGCAAAGAUGCUGCAGGUGUGAGUCAAGAUCAGGUGCUCCUGGAUGGCCAGGUGGACCCUGAGUUCAGUCCCAAAUAUCCUUAAAAGAGGGAGGUGGAAGGAGAGGUGACACGCACGGAGGUGGCCGAGAUGGAGGGACAUGGCCUGGGGCCCCCAGGAGCUGGCAGAGUCAGAAAGGAACCUCCCCUGGGCCUCUGGAGGAAGCAGGGCCUUGCAACACCUUGAUGGGGGCUCUGGACUCCAGGUCCAUGAGGACAAAUUUCUAUCGUCUAAAGCCCCAAGUUUGUGUUCCUUUGUAAAAGAGGCAAAAGGAAACUAAUAUUCCACGUAAGGCAAAGUAUGACCGCAGCAAUGUGCCCCAUUUACAUAUUUAUACACACUGGCUCCGGCUCAGGCAACCCCAUCCCUCUCCUGGGCUCUGUACCAACCUCACCCCGGCCUUCACCCUAGCCCUGCCAAUUCAACAGAGAUGCUUAUAAAGCAUAGUUCUGCUUGUGCUGCUCCCAGCCUUGAGCCUUCAGUGGCUCCCUGCUGCCCUCAGGACAGUGACAAAUCUCAAACACGCAUCCUAGGGCGGUGUGUGAUCUCAUGCUGCUCUGCUUCUCCAGCUCAGCCGCGCCUACCCUCUCUCCCACCCUCCCUCCUCCAGCUAAUAUAGACGCUUCUGUUCAUCUCAUGAACAUCAUCUCUUCUGCUCUGCAGAUCAGUAGUAUGAGAUUCCAGGGUAUACUGAAGACAGGCAGCAUGGUGACAGAAGUUCAUCUCACACACUACUGUUUGGUGGCAAACUGAGGAGUCCCCUUGAGGGUAAGCACCCUCAUCAUCACGGUAUCAUCAGCACCGUGGGAAGGGCCUGGCCUAUCAUCUGAGCAGGUGCCUCUCAUCUGAGCAGGUGCCUCUCAUCUGAGCAGGUGCCUCUCAGAUGGCACAGCUCCUCUUACCCCUGCCUUCAGAGCCCAGUCCAUAACCUGCUGCACCCUCUCCCUCCCCCAAUUCUCAUAGCUCACCCUGAGCCCUUUGUUCCAGAGCCCCCCAAACCUUCCCUCUCCCUUCUUGCAGCUGUCACUGCCCCACAUCUGGGGAUAGUCUUUCCCUCCCAGCUCCACUUCUGCAUCUUGGGACAGAGGGAGGGGGCAACAGGGCAGUCUCGGUGGUUCAGUCCAUGGAACAGGAUUGAAAAGUCACAAAACUCCUAGGAGAGACAAAAAAGUGUCGCAUUCCCUUAUGGCCUACAUUACAGACCGAGGAGCUUCCAGAAGCUGUGGAUCACAAGAGUCAACCCACCCGUAAGAAGCAAGCCAGGCAGCGGUUCAACUGUGGAAAGAAUUCGGUAAGCAAGUUUCACUUCACUGCAAUAAAGAAGCCUGACUGCGUCCUGAUGGUGACUGG